rnacentral:rRNA from 1 species
GAUGAACGCUGGCGGCGUGCCUAAUACAUGCAAGUCGAGCGAACGGACGAGAAGCUUGUUUCUCUGAUGUUAGCGGCGGACGGGUGAGUAACACGUGGAUAACCUACCUAUAAGACUGGGAUAACUUCGGGAAACCGUAGCUAAUACCGGAUAAUAUUUUGAACCGCAUGGUUCAAAAGUGAAAGACGGUCUUGCUGUCACUUAUAGAUGGAUCCGCGCUGCAUUAGCUAGUUGGUAAGGUAACGGCUUACCAAGGCAACGAUGCAUAGCCGACCUGAGAGGGUGAUCGGCCACACUGGAACUGAGACACGGUCCAGACUCCUACGGGAGGCAGCAGUAGGGAAUCUUCCGCAAUGGGCGAAAGCCUGACGGAGCAACGCCGCGUGAGUGAUGAAGGUCUUCGGAUCGUAAAACUCUGUUAUUAGGGAAGAACAUAUGUGUAAGUAACUGUGCACAUCUUGACGGUGCCUAAUCAGAAAGCCACGGCUAACUACGUG